rnacentral:misc_RNA from 1 species
CUCUCUCUCUCUCUCUCUCUCUCUUAACACCCACAUGAAUUCUAAGUUGCUAAUGAUCAUAAAAGCUUUAGUUUGCAUAAUAUUAAUGCAAAUAUGUGUAACUGGGGAAUUAUUCUCCCAAAGAAGAUGAUAAAAUAGUGAGUUUGCCAGGCCAGCCACAAGUGAGUUUCCAGCAAUAUGCGGGGUACGUUACCAUUGAUGAAAAACAACGGAGGGCUCUUUUCUAUUACUUUGUUGAAGCAGAAAGUGAACCUGCUUCAAAGCCUCUCGUUCUUUGGUUAACUGGAGGGCCUGGUUGUUCUUCUGUUGGUGCCG